CGUUCGAUCUCAAAUCA
rnacentral:rRNA from 1 species